rnacentral:tRNA from 1 species
AAAUUGAGCCUUGGUAUGGAAACCUGCUAAGUGAUAACUUCCAAAUUCAGAGAAACCCCGGAAUUAAGGUUCAAGUCCCUCUAUCCCCAAUAAAAGCCUAUUCUUUAUUUUUAUUACUAACUUAACUAGACUUCCUAGACUACUUUUUUUUAUCUUUUUUUUAUCUAAUAAAUUCAGGGGCUGGGUAAGAUUUUUUA